rnacentral:tRNA from 2 species
GCCUCUAUAGUGUAAUGGAUAGCAUAUAAUCAUUCUAAGGUUAAUGGUGAGAGUUCAAAUCUUUCUAGAGGCACCA